rnacentral:rRNA from 1 species
CUGCUGCCUUCCGUAGGAGUCUGGGCCGUAUCUCAGUCCCAAUGUGGCCGGCCAACCUCUCAGUCCGGCUACCGAUCGUCGCCUUGGUGGGCCGUUACCUCACCAACCAGCUAAUCAGACGCGAGGCCAUCUUCCAGCGAUAAAUCUUUGACAUCAGUGCCAUGCGACACCAAUGCGUCAUGCGGUAUUAGCAGUCGUUUCCAACUGUUGUCCCCCUCUGGAAGGCAGGUUCCUCACGCG